GUCCGAUUUUGCCACUGAAGAGAUAUGCUGUUAGAGUGGAGAAGCACAAUACUGACUAGCUGCUGUAUUUCCUCUGAUUAUACUCAAACAGGCUCCAGCAGACGUGAUUCCAGUAAAAGCUCAGAACCAACUUCUUGUUGCACUUGCCUUAUUGAGGGACCAGAACAGUGGGGUUACAAUGGUGCCGUGACUCCUUCUUUCACCCUCAUCAUUACAGCUGGUUCUGCUGCGAGUUUCUUCUGGACCUGUGAUGUUGUAGCGUGGUAGAAUUCUACUUCAAGUAAUCCACUCAAGUUUGCAUUAACCAGAACUCAGUAAACUCUUUUCAGUUUUUUCAGUUUUGCUGACAUAGAAGUUUUGGACUGGUUCUUCACAUUUUAUAGAUCACUUUUAUUUCAUGCUUGUAACUUUAUAUAUCCGAAAUUUUGUUUUCUUUUGUUUUCGACAAUUUUUUUCAUAAUUCUCAAAUACUUUCUAGUUGAUUAUUUUCAUUCAGAGUUAAGAGCAUUCUGGAUGUUUUGCCCAAAUCCUUAGAUUUUUUUGGAAAGUUGCGAUGGAGUAUUGUCAAGACAGCCC